rnacentral:rRNA from 1 species
UACAGAGGUCUCAAGCGUUUGUUCGGAUUCAUUGGGCGUAAAGGGUGCGUAGGUGGCGCCGUAAGUCAGGUGUGAAAUUUCGGAGCUUAACUCCGAAACUGCAUUUGAUACUGCGGUGCUUGAGGACUGGAGAGGAGACUGGAAUUUACGGUGCAGCAGUGAAAUGCGUAGAGAUCGUAAGGAAGACCAGUGGCGAAGGCGGGUCUCUGGACAGUUCCUGACACUGAGGCAACGGAAGGCCAGGGGAGCAAACGG